GGAAGCACAGCAACAGCUAGGUCAUGCAUUGUGCUAAACAGGAAGGGAAUGUAUUUCUGUUAAAGAAAAAUGAGAAGAGGAGGGCAGGGGAAGAAUUAGAGGUGAACAAAAACAGGUUGAAAGAAAAUGAACAGGAAGGGGAAGCAUGGAAGAAGAGAAGCAGCUUAUCUAAUGACUGCACAUCAUAAUUUUAGUUCUCCCUUUGUAGAUAAAUAAUUACAUCUCCCCUCUUACAAAUGCAUUUAACCAGUGGGGAUGCAAUAAUAUCAGUGCUGAUUAAGCUGUUCUUGUGUGAGGGAAGUGUUUUUGUGGUAGACAUCCUUUACACCAGGGGAACUGUAUGAGGUGUGUUAUGAUUUAACUGUUUGAAGAGAAGAAUUUUCCCUCGAGCAGAAAUGUAUAGGGACCAUAUGUACUUUUUCUCUCUAAGGAUACAUGGUCUUGAUCCUACAGAUCAAGCUACCAGUGGAUGUUGGGGUGGGUGAACAUCAUGUGCUGGUUUGCAGUGACUGGUGUAGCAUGUUGAAAUGGCAGCUGUUUCUUUAGGUCUCGGGAAGGGCCAACUGGUGCAUCUUCUCCUUGUGGGGAGCACCACACAUUCACCAAUCACCUGUUCUCAAUGAAUCCCCCAGAGCUCAUUUCCCUACAGUCUGGAGUGGAAUUAAAGAAGCCUCCACACACAUGGUCCUCUCAGUGGUGAGGACAGCAAGGGAGGUGUCCUGAGGGAGCCAGUCAUUGUCCUUAGCUGGGGUAACAGAUCUGUGCUUCAGCAUCAAGCAUGCAGGUACAUCUGUGCUGGGCCCUGGGGCCUAAAAGUGUCCAGCAGCCCCAGUGUGGUUGCAGAACCACUCUGGUGCCCAAGAUGUCCAUGCUAUAAACAGUGCUGUGCUGGCACCAGAUUUAUUUCCACAGCAGGCUUUAAACCUCCAUCCCGUAAUCAAGAUGUGGGCCCAGCCUCGCCUGUUUGCACAGCCAAGACUCUGUGCAUUAGCGUACAUCUCUUUUAGUUUCAUUUUGUCUUUGUGGGCCUUUAACAGGGCCUUUAAGACGUGACUGUACUAUCCUACCAUGGCUGAGGAAUUUAUAUUAAUUUAGCAGUUAGGCAGGUACACUACACAAAUGGGUGUAAGAGGUGGCAGAAAGGGCUUUGUUAAACACUUUCAGCAUGUGGUAAGGACAAAUGAAGGGUGCUUUCUAUCUGUCCUCGCUCCACCCCCUCUUGAGAGCCUGGGAUUCCAUGAGGUGUGUUUUGGAUGAAUGUAGACUUGAAUAAACAUAGUUAUUUUUCUUGUCUGCCGCUAAGACGACAAUGUUCCAUUGAUAUGUUUGACAGCCUCAAGUAACUGACAAUUAUUUCACAUGUGCAGUGUUUAUCUCCGUGGUAUGCUGUGUGACAGCUUGGAAGUGACACCGAUGUUCAGUGUGAAUCUCUCUAUCUCCCCAGCGAGCUGUCGGGAGAGCCUGCAACAUUUUAAAAACACUCCCUGGUUCUUGAAUUUGAACAGAGGCUCUCUAUUCCAAGCCACAUUAGGUAACAUCAUGUUUCAUUGCCCUUUUUAAUCCCUUGGGAGGACAGUAUGCAAAAGUGCAUCAGGAAGAGGUGACAAGGGAUUUAUAUAUUAGUACAAACUGAAACAAAUGCUCUUAAUUUUGGCCGCAUCAGUUUAGUGGAUAUCUUGCAAAAGCUCAUACUUUUUUUUUUUUUUUUUUUUUGAAAUUGGAAAGGAGUAGCAGAAUAGCAGCAUCCAUUAACAUGACUUAUGGGUAAAUACAGUGUAGGUCUUUCUACAUAAUGCUGCUAGUGUAGCUGAGUAGUCAUCCUCUUGUCAAUUUUUAUUCUGUUUGCAGAUUCCUUUGUCAAUGUGAGGAUCACUAUGAGCCUAAAACACCAUAGGACUUGAAAUUGUUUUACAGCUUUAAGAAUGUGUAAUCACAUAUGCUGAAUUUUCUGAUGAUUUCUUUCACUCUUCAUAGCUAAGUAGUUAAACUCUCAUUUGUGCUUUAUUUGAAAAGGGAUGAGCUUUUAUCUCAGACAGGUAAUGCAUAUGUUGCACAGGCACUUCAAGCCUCGGCUACAAAAUUACUGGAGAGGUACUGAAUGCUUUUUAUGAAAGUGAUUAAUACUCUGUAAAAGACACGUAUCAAAAGGCAGACAGUCAGUUUGAUGGAAGGAAGGUGGGAAAAAAUCCUAUCUGUUCAUUAGAGCACACUUUAAAAACAAAACCAAAAACCUUCUCCUGUUUACCACUUAGAGUAAAAUGUAGAGUGAUCUGUUUUCAAGUCAGAUUAGCUUUCCGAUUUUCAUGAGUAAGCAUAGUGCUUUGCAUUAUAAAGUCAGAGGCAAACUGUAACACAUUUGGAGUCUUUUUCCUUUUACAAAGUUAAUUCUUAGAAUUUUUGGCAAAUUGAUGGUUCAUUUGUCAGUGUCACCUUAAUCUGCAAAACAGAUAGUGAGCAACUCCUUCAUCCACUUUUUCUCAUCUUUGUUUAGAGAAAUGGAAGAAAAACGUGGUUUGCUGAGAUCUUUUAUGAAUUUAUCUAUUUUGUUGUCUGUAUUGUAAACAUUGCUUUUUGUGUCUGUAAUGUGGUAUGAAGUUUUUACUGUCAAAGGAACUUGUUAAAGCUGUAGCCAUUGCCAUGGUGAGAUUUUCUUCUAUACUGACAUUUAUGUUGACUGAAGAAUGCAGUCUUGUUAGUAAGACAAAUGGCUAAAUUGAGUGUGGUUGUGGAUUUAACUUUCUGUGUUUGGCAUAAAAGGAGUCUUUAAGGUCUGAAUUAUUCCAACCUUAAAACAAACAACAACAACAACAACAACAAAUAAAAAAAGGAAAACUUGCAACUAUUUAGACUGCAAAUUUAUUUCUCUCCUAUUAGCAGCUGAGAUUUAUUUUUCUGUUUAACUAGCUGGAUCUUUUGUUCGUGAGAAUUGGCAUCCUGCUGCGGUGUGGUAUGUGUCUAGUAGUGAAUGUGAACUUACAUUGUAAUGUCACGGCAGAGACAGCAGCAUGAUUUAUGACAACACUGGGCAACUGUUGAGCUUUGUGAAGCUUAGGCAGCCCACAGAGGUUCAGGGACGGGUGACCUUGGGUUUCCCUCUCCUGCUGCAGAAGUGAAACUUGGGGCUCAGCCACGAGGUAUGGGUUUGCAUAAUGGUCUGGUGCUGCUCUGGGCCGCCCCAGUGAUCCUGUGCUAUACUGUCCCUCCUGGGCAUGACCUGAGAACCGCGUAAUUCGACCUUGAAUAUUCCCUGGCUUCUGACUGCUGGUGACACAUGCGCCACCUCCAAGCAAUCUGUAAAGACUGCUGCCAAUGGCUGAGCAAUGGUGGUCAGCUGGGCUGCAGUGAUGUGUGCAGGGGGAAUUGCCUCUGCAGAAGCAAAUUCUCUGCUUUCAGCCACUACUGCAGGGUACUGGAUAGUGUGAGGACGCAUGUUGUCUGCUAAGGAUACAGGAGCAAGGUCAGACACACCAUGAAAAGCUACCAGGUGUGAACUGAUGCUGUGUAGAAACACCAGAGUGACAAAAUCUAUAGCAUUCAGAAUACCUGGGGUAGCCAGAGGCUGCGUUACCCAGGGUAAUGGCAGUUGGUUAGUAAAACUACACUUACAUAGCGUAACAGAGAUUGUUCUGCUUUAUCCCAUGUUUUUCAGAACUGUAAAAUACUUGCAGUAAUUCCUAGGUGGUCUCUUUAUGUGUGUGGUGAUGUCAACCACUUGGAGAAUUAACUUUGCUGAAGCUUGCAGCUGCUGAUUCAUCUGUUUAAAGAAGUCAAUUCUUAAUUUUCAGUGGGUAAUAAUUUUUCUCCCGUUGUACAACAGUUGAGGAGAAAGAGCUGGUUAUGAGGCUUAGCAUAGGUUACCACAGCAGAGGGUUUCCUUCCAGUUAUUUAACAUACUGUAUAUUUUAGUGGCUGCAAUAUACAGAAAGCUUCAGUUUCAUGUCUCUUCUUGGAACAAGUCCAGCUUGUGCUGUGAAAGUACAAUUCAGCACAAGUCCUUUUUGAAUAUUUAUUUAUUUUUAGUAUCCAAGAGUUCUGCAUGUGGUGUUCUGCGUCCUCAUGAGAAGAGUUGUAGCAGUGGUGCCUUGGCAUUAACAAAUGCCUUGAUAUCAGUAGUUCUUUGCCUUUUUUUUUUUUUUUUUUCCUUUUCUUUUAAAUUAUUCUUUUAAUUGGGUAACAAAGUAAAAGCACCCUCUGCCUUCAUGCUCUUAAAAUCCAGUUUUCCUCCUCUUCUCUCCCUGCUCCCAACACUCCCUUGGGAAUGAGAAGGAAUGGUGUCUCUGGCAAAGAAAUAGGUAGGGUUUGGUUGAAUGAAGUUGUCACACCAUGAUCAUCAACCGUAAAUGUUAGGCAGAAAACCUAGUCUUGCAACAGAUUAGAUUACUUGGAUGAACAAAUCUGAAAGUACUAAACAAAGGAGUAGAUUUAUCUUACGCAUCCAUGUCUUGGUGUGUAGAUAGAUAUUUCUUUGGCACUGUUUAAGUUUUGUAAGCAGCUAUCUAAGCUGCUUUUCAUACCAGAAGCAAUACGACCUCUCUGACUGAGCUGAUGAAUCCCGGUUCAAAAGUCAGAUCUAUUGUUUUAGCUAUUUGAACUAAUACUGUGUAACACUGCAUCAAGUUGAGAAGAUGCAGUUUUAGGUGUUAAAAGAUUAUGCUUUUAGUUAUAUGUGUGUGUACCUCCAUCUUCAGAAAUGAAAAAUGGGUUCCAAUAACUUGUGCUGUCAUGCUUGCCAGAAAAGAUGACUUCCCACUUAAUUUGCUGCUCUUUUGCUUGCUUAUUGUUGCCCCGAGAAAGGAGAGAUCUUCAAUGCCUAUGGAUUGAGUUCAAUGGAAAAUUCUGCUCUCUGACUCAAUGUAGUUUAAACUGAACAAUCCUAUGGUUGUUCAUGGUGCCAUGUUAUGGCUACACUCCAUCAGUAUGCUGUACCUCAUCCAUUUCUUACACAUUUAUUCUGUUGAACAUCUUUUAAUGCCAUCAUAAUUGUUACUUCUUGUCUUCAUAUUCCUGUGCAGGAAUGGAUGGGUCAACAGUUUACACAUAUGUGGAGUCAACGUAUGUUCUGAAAAAGAAUGAGAAGUCCAGAGCAAAGCAGAACAGCCUGUUCUCUUUUUUAGAAUUGAGCAAGGACAAUGAUUUGCUCAGUGUCUAACAUUUAUAAUAGUUUGUUCUCUAAUCUACAUAACUGCUGCAAAGAGGUAAAACAUGUUGUGCAUAAGUAGAUGUCUGACACAGUAAGUUAAACGUUGACAUUGUAAGAAUCCUAACUCCUGUGUAAUCAUCUUGGUGCAAACCCUGUGACAGCAUCAGGUUAGUUGUUUCCUUAGAGAUGUUGUAGAUUGCCGAUCUUCCUCCCCCCUACUAAGAAGUCAAUGCGUAUUUCCUGUUGUGCAAUAUAGUGCCUUUGUUUCCUUGGGGACUUGGGGAAAUGGCCCUAACUCUGUAACUAGAAACUUUAUAAAUGCUGUAGAACAAUACCUAUGGGGACAGCAUGAGGGGCUUGGAUGCAAUAAAAUUAAUCACCAUGACAAGGUCUACAUAAAAACUGUUUAGUAAAUGUUCUGAUAUAAGAGAAUGUAAAAUGGAACAAUUCCUUCCUUCCUUCACUGGUCUGAGAAGUCACUGCCCUGAAGAUGAAAGCAAUUGCUCAUUAAUUCCUUAGACAUACUUAAAAUAAUUAAAAA